rnacentral:tRNA from 1 species
UUCCCAGUGGCUUAGUGGUAAAGAAUCUGCCUGCAAUGCAGGAGAUACAGCAGGAGCCUUGGGUUUAAUCUCUGGUUGGGAAG